rnacentral:rRNA from 1 species
AUUGAACGCUGGCGGCAGGCCUAACACAUGCAAGUCGAGCGAGCGGCGGACGGGUGAGUAAUGUAUGGGGACUGCCCGAUAGAGGGGGAUAACUACUGGAAAAGGUAGCUAAUACCGCAUACUAUCGGAUAACCCAUAUGGGAUUAGCUAGUAGGUGAGGUAAUGGCUCACAUAGGAGACGAUCCCUAGCUGGUCUUAGAGGAUGAUCAGCCGCACUGGGACUGUGACACGGCCCAGACUCCUACGGAGGCAGAAGUUGGGAAUAUUGCACAAUGGGCGCAAGCCUGAUGCAGCCAUGCCGCGUGUAUGAAGAAGGCCCGAGGGUUGUAAAGUCCUUUCAGUCGGUAGGCGUUACCGACAGAAGAAGCACCGGCUAACUCCGUGCCAGCAGCCGCGGUAAUUC